rnacentral:rRNA from 1 species
ACGCUGGCGGUGUGCCUUAGCAUGCAAGUCGAACGAGNUCCCUUCGGGGUGACAGUGGCGAACGGGUGAGUACAACACAGGAACAUACCUUUAAGUGGGGAACAAUCCCGCGAAAGCGGGACUAAUACCGCAUGUGUUCCGCCUCUGGCGGAAUAAAGGACAUAACUGUCCGCNUUAAAGAGUGGCCUGUGCGCUAUCAGCUAGUUGGUGGGGUAAUUGCCCACCAAGGCUACGACGGCUAGGGGGCGUGAGAGCGCGACCCCCCACAAGGAGACUGAGAUACGGCUCCUACACCUACGGGUGGCAGCAACUGGGAAUCUUGCGCAAUGGGCGAAAGCCUGACGCAGCGACACCGCGUGGAGGAAGAAGGCCUUCGGGUUGUAAACUUCUUUUAUGGGAAGAAAAAAAUGACGGUACCAUAUGAAUAAGCACCUGCUAACUACGUGCCAGAAGCCUCGGUAAUACGUAGGGUGCAAGCGUUAUCCGGAAUUAUUGGGCGUAAAGAGUAUCGUAGGCUGUCUUAUAAGUGUGUAGUGAAAUCUCUCAGCUUAACUGGGAAAUUGCUACACAUACUGUUUGACUAGAGGACGCUAGAGGAUGCUGGAAUUCUCGGUGGAGCAGUGAAAUGCGUUGAUAUCGAGAGGAACACCAAGGGCGAAGGCAAGCAUCUGGGGCGUUUCUGACGCUGAUGAACGAAAGCUAGGGGAGCAAAAGGGAUUAGAGACCCCUGUAGUCCUAGCCGUAAACAUUGUUCACUAGUUGCCCCGCU